UACGUAGGGGGCUAGCGUUGUCCGGAAUCAUUGGGCGUAAAGAGCGUGUAGGCGGUCCGGUAAGUCCGCUGUGAAAGUCGGGGGCUCAACCCUCGAAUGCCGGUGGAUACUGUCGGGCUAGAGUGCGGAAGAGGCGAGUGGAAUUCCUGGUGUAGCGGUGAAAUGCGCAGAUAUCAGGAGGAACACCUAUUGCGAAGGCAGCUCGCUGGGACGCAACUGACGCUGAGACGCGAAAGCGUGGGGAGCAAACAGG
rnacentral:rRNA from 1 species